rnacentral:rRNA from 1 species
UGCGUAGGUGGUGUGGCAAGUCAGAUGUGAAAUCCCGGGGCUCAACCUCGGAACUGCAUCCGAUACUACCGCACUUGAGGACUGGAGAGGAGACUGGAAUUCUCGGUGUAGCAGUGAAAUGCGUAGAGAUCGAGAGGAACACUCGUGGCGAAAGCGAGUCUCUGGACAGUUCCUGACACUGAGGCACGAAGGCCGGGUAGCGAAAG